rnacentral:rRNA from 1 species
UACGUAGGUGGCAAGCGUUACUCGGAAUCACUAGGCGUAAAGCGCAGGUAGGCGGUUUGGUAAGUCUUUUGUGAAAGCUCCCGGCUCAACUGGGAGAGGUCAAAGGAAACUACUAGGCUAGAGUGUGGUAGGGGAUACUGGAAUUCCUGGUGUAGCGGUGAAAUGCGUAGAUAUCAGGAGGAAUACCUAUGGCGAAAGCAGGUCUCUGGGCCAUCACUGACGCUGAGCUGCGAAAGCUAGGGGAGCAAACAGG